rnacentral:rRNA from 1 species
UGGGGAAUAUUGCACAAUGGGGGAAGCCCUGAUGCAGCGACGCCGCGUGAGCGAAGAAGUAUUUCGGUAUGUAAAGCUCUAUCAGCAGGGAAGAAGAAGGACGGUACCUGACUAAGAAGCUCCGGCUAAAUACGUGCCAGCAGCCGCGGUAAUACGUAUGGAGCAAGCGUUAUCCGGAUUUACUGGGUGUAAAGGGAGCGCAGGCGGCGCGGCAAGUCUGGUGUGAAAUACCGGGGCCCAACCCCGGGACUGCAUUGGAAACUGUCGCGCUGGAGUGUCGGAGGGGCAGGCGGAAUUCCUAGUGUAGCGGUGAAAUGCGUAGAUAUUAGGAGGAACACCGGUGGCGAAGGCGGCCUGCUGGACGACAACUGACGCUGAGGCUCGAAAGCGUGGGGAGCAAACAGGAUUAGAUACC